ACAAGCGGUGGAGCAUGUGGUUUAAUUCGAUGAUACGCGAGGAACCUUACCUGGGCUCAAAUGUAUGUUGACGUAUUCUGAAAGGGAUACUUCUUCGGACAAUAUACAAGGUGCUGCAUGGUUGUCGUCAGCUCGUGCCGUGAGGUGUUGGGUUAAGUCCCAUAACGAGCGCAACCCCUACCUUUAGUUGCCAUCAGGUUAGGCUGGGGACUCUAAAGGAACUGCCUACGCAAGUAGUGAGGAAGCGGGGAUGACGUCAAAUCAGCACGGCCCUUACGUCCAGGGCUACACACGUGCUACAAUGGCCGAUACAGAGGGCAGCUACCUGGUGACAGGAUGCAAAUCUCCAAAGUCGGUCUCAGUUCGGAUCGGAGUCUGCAACCCGACUCCGUGAAGUUGGAUUCGCUAGUAAUCGCGCAUCAGCCAUGGCGCGGUGAAUACGUUCCCGGGCCUU
rnacentral:rRNA from 1 species